AGUGAACGCUGGCGGUAGGCCUAACACAUGCAAGUCGAACGGCAGCACAGUAAGAUCUUGCUCUUACGGGUGGCGAGUGGCGGACGGGUGAGGAAUACAUCGGAAUCUACUUUUUCGUGGGGGAUAACGUAGGGAAACUUACGCUAAUACCGCAUACGAUCUACGGGUGAAAGCAGUGGAUCUUCGGACCUUGCGCGAUUGAAUGAGCCGAUGUCGGAUUAGCUAGUUGGCGGGGUAAAGGCCCACCAAGGCGACGAUCCGUAGCUGAUCUGAGAGGAUGAUCAGCCACACUGGAACUGAGACACGGUCCAGACUCCUACGGGAGGCAGCAGUAGGGAAUAUUGGACAAUGGGCGCAAGCCUGAUCCAGCCAUACCGCGUGAGUGAAGAAGGCCUUCGGGUUGUAAAGCCCUUUUGUUGGGAAAGAAAAGCAGCAGGUUAAUACCCCGCUGUUCUGACGGUACCCAAAGAAUAAGCACCGGCUAACUUCGUG
rnacentral:rRNA from 1 species